rnacentral:rRNA from 1 species
CUACGGGUUGCUCCAGUGAGGAAUAUUGCACAAUGGGGGAAACCCUGAUGCAGCAACGCCGCGUGGAGGAUGACGCAUUUCGGUGUGUAAACUCCUUUUAUCAGAGAAGAAAAUGACGGUAUCUGAUGAAUAAGCUCCGGCUAACUCCGUGCCAGCAGCCGCGGUAAUACGGAGGGAGCAAGCGUUAUUCGGAAUCACUGGGCGUAAAGGACGCGUAGGCGGGUUAUUAAGUCAGGUGUGAAAUCCAAUGGCUCAACCAUUGAACUGCACUUGAAACUGGUAACCUAGAGUAUGGAAGGGGCAGAUGGAAUUAGUGGUGUAGGGGUAAAAUCCGUAGAUAUCACUAGGAAUACCGAAAGCGAAGGCGAUCUGCUGGGACAUUACUGACGCUGAGGCGUGAAAGCGUGGGGAGCAAACAGGAUUAGAUACCCGUGUAGUC